GACGGAGGAUGCAAGCGUUAUCCGGAAUGAUUGGGCGUAAAGCGUCCGCAGGUGGCAGUUCAAGUCUGCUGUCAAAGACCGGGGCUUAACUUCGGAAAGGCAGUGGAAACCGAACAGCUAGAGUAUGGUAGGGGCAGAGGGAAUUCCUGGUGUAGCGGUGAAAUGCGUAGAGAUCGGGAAGAACACCAGUGGCGAAAGCGCUCUACUGGGCCACAACUGACACUGAUGGACGAAAGCUAGGGGAGCGAAUGGG
rnacentral:rRNA from 1 species